rnacentral:rRNA from 1 species
UACAGAGGGGGCAAGCGUUGUUCGGAAUUACUGGGCGUAAAGGGCGCGUAGGCGGCCGCCUAAGUCAGACGUGAAAUCCCUCGGCUCAACCGGGGAACUGCGUCUGAUACUGGGUGGCUUGAAUCCGGGAGAGGGAUGCGGAAUUCCAGGUGUAGCGGUGAAAUGCGUAGAUAUCUGGAGGAACACCGGUGGCGAAGGCGGCGUUCUGGACUGUCUCUGACACUGAAGAACGAAAGCCAGGGGAGCAAACGGG